rnacentral:rRNA from 1 species
UACAGAGGGGGCAAGCGUUGUUCGGAAUUACUGGGCGUAAAGGGCGCGUAGGCGGCCUGUUAAGUCGAACGUGAAAUCCCCGGGCUCAACCCGGGAACUGCGUCCGAUACUGGCAGGCUUGAAUCCGGGAGAGGGAUGCGGAAUUCCAGGUGUAGCGGUGAAAUGCGUAGAUAUCUGGAGGAACACCGGUGGCGAAGGCGGCAUCCUGGACCGGCAUUGACGCUGAGGCUCGAAAGCCAGGGGAGCAAACGGG